rnacentral:rRNA from 1 species
UACGUAGGGACCAAGCGUUGUUCGGAUUUACUGGGCGUAAAGGGCGCGUAGGCGGCUUGUCAAGUCACUUGUGAAAUCUCUGGGCUUAACCCAGGACGGCCAAGUGAAACUGACAUGCUAGAGUGCAGAAGGGGCAAUCGGAAUUCUUGGUGUAGCGGUGAAAUGCGUAGAUAUCAAGAGGAACACCUGAGGUGAAGACGGGUUGCUGGGCUGACACUGACGCUGAGGCGCGAAAGCCAGGGGAGCAAACGGG